CCUACGUGCGGCAGCAGUGGGGAAUAUUGCGCAAUGGGCGAAAGCCUGACGCAGCGACGCCGCGUGAGGGAUGAAGGUCUUCGGAUCGUAAACCUCUGUCAGCAGGGAGGAACGGUCACUGUGCUAAUCAGCAGUGAAUUGACGGUAACUGCAAAGGAAGCACAGGCUAACUCCGUGCCAGCAGCCGCGGUAAUACGGAGGGUGCGAGCGUUAAGCGGCAUUACUGGGCGUAAGGCGCUCGUAGGCGGGAUGUCAAGUCCAGGGUGAAAUCCCCGCGCUCAACGUGGGAACUGCCUUUGAAACUGGCAAACUGGAGUGUGUGAGAGGAUAGUGGAAUUCCAGGUGUAGGAGUGAAAUCCGUAGAUAUCUGGAGGAACAUCAGUGGCGAAGGCGACUAUCUGGCACAUAACUGACGCUGAGGAGCGAAAGCGUGGGUAGCAAACAGGAUUAGAGACCCUGGUAGUC
rnacentral:rRNA from 1 species